AUUGAACGCUGGCGGCAUGCCUUACACAUGCAAGUCGAACGGCAGCACGGACUUCGGUCUGGUGGCGAGUGGCGAACGGGUGAGUAAAGUAUCGGAACGUACCUUUCAGUGGGGGAUAACGUAGCGAAAGUUACGCUAAUACCGCAUAUUCUGUGCGCAGGAAAGCAGGGGGAUCGCAAGACCUUGCGCUGAUUGAGCGGCCGAUAUCAGAUUAGCUAGUUGGUGGGGUAAAGGCCUACCAAGGCGACGAUCUGUAGCGGGUCUGAGAGGAUGAUCCGCCACACUGGAACUGAGACACGGUCCAGACUCCUACGGGAGGCAGCAGUGGGGAAUUUUGGACAAUGGGCGCAAGCCUGAUCCAGCCAUGCCGCGUGAGUGAAGAAGGCCUCGGUUGUAA
rnacentral:rRNA from 1 species